UUGAAAACUCUUUUCCAUGGACAGAGAUCAGAGACAGUGUCUCUGGGGGCUCUGUACAGGGGGGUUCCUGACCCCCUGCCAGGGUCCCAGACCUUCCAAGGCAGCCAGAGGGAAGCCCUGAAUUCCCACAACCUGAGUGGAAAGUAAGUACUAUGCACUUGCUGUUUGCCUCAAGAUCCUCAUGGAAAUUAACCAGAAAGACAACAGCAGGAUAUUUAGAAUGUAAAAGAAAAUCAAUUACUGUGUCCCUCUUGGGCCUCUAUUUUCCUACUUAGAUCCCAAGGACAGUGCAAGUAACUGUCACUUGUGAAGACUGUGUAUCAAAAAGCAUGAGAACUAAAAGUGAGCUGCCUUCACUGGAGUCUGUUCAGUGGUAGCUUUCUGACCCCACAGGUCAGAGAAACCCACAGGAUCCAAACUCCAUAUGCUGCAGUCCAGCAUGGGGGGAUCCCUUUCCUGGGGGAAAUGUUCUUGGUCAUCUGUCUUGUGAAGCCAAAUGCCCCAUCCUGUGUCUCUUCUGGUGCUCUUAAAGCUUAUUCCAUCUCCUUCUGCAGUUUCAUAAUCUUGCUGCUAUGUGGCUUUCUGGUUCCCAAAAAUGUCCCCCCAGUUUCCCAGCAGUAAGCACAUCUUAAAAGGGAGAUGAGAUUUAAAAAGGAGGUGUAGGGCAGAUAUGGUCCCCGUGAGAAUAAGAACAGAACUACAGGCUCAGGUAGAUUGUGAACAAUCUAGAAACACUGAUUUAAAAAAAAAAGAAUUUAAAAAAUCCUGUCUGCUGAUCUUUAGCUAGUGGAUAUUUUUGGAGGCCAGUGUCUUUGAAGUUUUGUCAUAAUGGAAGAAUUGAAAAGGGCUCUGAUGAGAGAAGGAAUCUAGAGGUACUUAGCCACAGUAUCUAUCCAGAAUAUAAAAUAUCUUCCUCACAUGCUCCAAAAAGCAGAUUUUAGCCUGCAAUCCAGGUAAAACCAGAACUCACCCAUUGUAAUAAGCAAUCCAGCCAAAAGAACAGCAGUGGGUAUUUGAUUUGGUUUUGGGUUUGGGUUUUUUUGUUUUUCUUUCUUUUUUUACCCUAAGGGACCUUGUACACUGGGAAUGUGUUGUAAGUAUUAGAGACCUUCGGUGGAACUUCUAUAUUUGCAGGUCACCAGGAUUUAAGUGCUUUUGUCUGCUGGAUCAGUACUUCAUUCAUAAUGACAUAGAACAAGGAGUAAAAUAAUGUGUAAAGAAGUUAAACUCUCAGGGUCAGCUGUACUUCUGCAUUUGCUGUUCAUACCACUUUCUCAGCAGAGAGCUGUGCUCAGGAUUGCUGAGGAAAAACAUGGCCAACUUGUGUGAAAGAUGAAGCUGUGGGCACCUACAUAUUCUGCUGCUGGUAGCUCAGGCAGUCUGCAGUGCUCUACAGUACAUUUAGAUAAUUAUCUGUAUGUUGGCUUGUUGGUGACAGAUCUAUUUCUGGUUGUUUUACUAUUA